GAUAAGACGGUGUUAAUGGUGAU
rnacentral:miRNA from 1 species